CAAAGAAUUAUCACCAGGUCCAACUCGGAGCCAGUUAAGUGGAUUUAGUUAUGGUCCAAGUAGAAUUGGUAGCUUCCUGAAUGGUUACACUCAGACUCAGGGAUACAUGACAACUGCUGGAGGACUUGGUGUUAGAAUGGAUGGUAGGUUUAGUCCUGUUACUGUUGGUCGUAGUAACUUUUCUCCGUUUGGUCCUGGUUUUGGGAUGGGGCUGAAUUUUGAGCAGGUGUUGAGUCCUAGUUAUGGUGGAAAUUUAAACCUAAGUUCUAACUUUGGCUAUGGAAGAUUGAGUCCUUCAUAUAGUGGAAAUUCAAGCAGGUAUGAUAGCCCUAUUGGAUACAAUGGAGUCAAUGGUGGAAAUAGUUCUGCCUUAAAUUCGACAGCUCGAACUUUGUGGGGUGAUGGAAGCAUUAAUCAUGCUUCAAACUCCACAAAUUCUAGUACUUUUAUGGGCUUUGGAACUGGGAAUUCAAGAGUGGGUUCUUUCGGGAAUAUUGGAGGAGUCUGGGCUUCCUCAGCUAAUUCUGGACAAGGUGAAGGUGGUGGCUCUGGCUAUAGCAGUGGCAAUCUUAGCUACAAUAGUGGAGAUUUCAGUGUUGGCCUUGGACGGGUAGGGUAUGGAAGAAACAGUAGGACACGUCCUGCACCAGUUUCAUCUCAUGCUGCAUCAUAUGAUUAUGGUGGACCUUAUGCAGACAUUUAUGAUAAUGGUCCACUGUAUGGG
rnacentral:misc_RNA from 1 species